rnacentral:lncRNA from 1 species
ACCUACAAAUGAACUUCUGGAAUACACCGUCAUUUGUGAGUGCAGGAACAGUCUGUGUCGGACGCUCGGGCCCAGUUUGUAGAUAAAGUUGUAGCAACACAGCAUAUUGUAACAUUCACCAGUCCAGAAAGGUGCUGAGAGGGCUCAGAAAGCAACUCAUUUUUCCUCCCACUGAAACUCAGGAAUGUCCUUUGAGGACUUUUGCUGAGAUAUGCGAAUGAUUUGCUUUUCAAAAAAACUGUAAGUCAGGACCUCCGUGUGAUUCUCACCCAAGUCCUUCUUAUCAUGUGCAGAACUUCUCUGGGUGCCUGAUUCUCUCUGUGGUGGCAAAGAGACGGGGCCUGUGUGGGCCAAGGCGCAGAGCCAGAGAGGGAGGGUUUGGGGCGUUCUCCCAAGGACAGCAAGUACAAUGUGGCCCUCCCUCUGACCUCCUUUGAAAGACAUCGAGGGCUUGGAGUCCUUGCGUCCCCUACAAUCCAGUGUGUCCUUGAUGGAGUGAUGCUGCUCUCCCUGCAUUCCACCUCAGCCAAACAGCUCCACUUACCCCCUUUAUAUAUUGGGGUGUCACAUAAGAUUGUACUUGGUAAGAAUGUCCCCUGCUCACAUAUGUAUGCAUGUGUGUACCAGUUUGAAGGCCACUCUUUCUAGCCUGGAAGCACAUCUCAAUGGGUUUCAUGGUGGCCCCUGCAAAGACAUGCCUUGCCUUAAUCCCUGGAGCCCAUAAGGUGAUGUUCUUUGGAAAAAGGAUCUUUGCAGAUGUAAUUAAGUUAAAGAUCUUGAGCUGAGAUCAUCCUGACUUAUGUGGUGGGCUGUAAAUCCAAUGACAAGAGUCCUUAUAAGAGAGAGAAGAGAAGAAAACACAGAUCGAGAGAGAAGAGGAGGAAGUCUUGUGAAGACAGAGGCAGAGAUUGGAGUGAUGCAGCCACAAGCCAAGGAAUGCCUGGGACCACCAGAAGCUGGAAGAGAUGAGAUGGGAGAAAAAUGAGUUCAAUCAGUAGACUCCCAUGACCCCUUCAAGUGACGCAAUCAUCUCUUCCAAGAAGUGCAGCUACUUAUUUGGGAUAAGCGACGACAGACGAGAAACCACAAAGAAUCUGCAGACGCGAGACUCCCUGACCUGCAGAUAUACAGCCAUCUCCAAUAAGUCUACAUUUAAACUAAAACUUCUCCUGUUGAGCAAGCAUAAUGUGGAAUUAUGUUAGCAAGACCUUAUGCAUUCCCACAAAUUUUCUCCCAAUAAAAAAAACUGUUAUCAAAGGAUUGUCACCCCCCCAGACAUACAGCACUGCAGGGAAAAAGGAGCCCAGACAGCCGUUGGGAGUUGACCUCUGGCCGCACGCCUGGGGUCAGUGGAGAUCUAUGUUGACUUUAUCUGUGUGCCCUUUAAGGAGGCCUCUUGCUUAAAAUAACUAAGGAGCCACUAAAUUACACUUACUUGUAAUGCUGCAUUAAUGGAUUCUUCUACAAAGGCUGAAAUACCUGGGCUUUUGCCCUUCAUGACCCUAAUUUUAACUACAAUGAAGCUUCUGAAUCUCUACCCAUUUCGGGUUAACUCCAUUUUGGAGAAAGAAUGAGUUCUAUCAAUAGCCUUUAUGAGCAUUAAUUAAAAAUCUGUACAGAGAGAAUAGUCAUAUAUUUAAAACUAGUCAUUAAGAAAUAAAAGAAUAUCCUUGGUAUAAGCUGAAAAAUUAUUAAAGAUUCUGUUUCAUAAAGUGAUAGAAUCAUAAUUUCUAACCAUAAUUUUCUUAACCAAAAUAUCGUUGUACUUAGUUUUGUUGUGUUUCUGAAAUAAUUUAUUUUCUGAUUUUGCCUGAAAUCUACUACCUUUUCCAACAACAACCACAACAACAAAAAUCUAAUUUUAUUUUGGUUCAGAAAAGGAGCAGCAUUUUUACACAUAUCUAUUUUGUUCCUACAGUUCAUGAUCUGAAGCAGAAGACAGUCCUUCUACAUAUUUCUUUCCUUCUCUGAUGGAUGGCUGAUAUACAGCGUGUUGUUUCAAAAAUUUAAAAAUAACUGAAAAGAUUAUACCAGUUAACUACAUCACAAUUUUAUUAUUUAUUUAUUUAUUUAUUUAUUUAUUUAUUUAUUUAUUUAUUUUUGAGAUGGCCUCUGGCUCUGUCGCCCAGGCUGGACUGCAGCAGCGUGAUCUCAGCUCACUGCAGCCUCCGCCUCGUGGGUUCAAGCAAUUCUCCUGUCUCAGCCUCCCAAAUAGCUGGGAUUACAGGUGCCCGCCGCCAUGCCUGGCUAAUUUUUGUAUUUUUGGUAGAGACAAGGUUUCACCACGGUGGCCAGACUAGUCUUGAACUCCUGACUCAAAUGAUUCGUCUGCCUCGGCCUCCCAAAGUGCUGGGAUUAUAGGGGUGAGCAAUUGCGCCUGGCUGACGAUACAAUUUAAAUAAAAAGAUUUUCUUUUCAAUGAAGUAACUAAAAAAAUUCAAGUCUUUAUUUAUUAAGCAGGAGUAUUUUCUGAAUUGUUAACACGGUGCCUGGCAAUAUUAGACCCUCAGAAAGUAUUUUUGGUCAGGCAUGGUGGUUCACGCCUGUAAUCCUGACACUUUGAGAGGCUCAGGUAGGAGGAUGGAUUGAGCCCAGGAGUUCAAGACCAGCCUGGGCAAUAUGGCAAAGCCCCAUCUCUACAAAAAACAAACAAAAAUUAGCCAGGUGUGGUGGUGCACAAUUGUGGUCCCAGUUACUUAGGGGGCUGAGGUGGGAGGAUCUCUUGAGCCCAGGAGGUCGAGGCUACAGUAAGCCAUGUGCACCACUGUACUCCAGCCUGAGCAACAGAGCCAGACCCUGUCUCAAAAAAAUAAUUAAUAUUUAAAAAAACAGAUGAGUAAAGAUGGAGGACAAUUACAAAAUGGGAAACAAACAACAAAAAUUGCUCAGAAAUUAGGCCUUUUCUUUCUGUCUCUUCCCUUUUCUUUGGAUGUGAGGGACGGAAUUGUUUAUAUCAAAUGGCCAUGUUGAUAAUUAUACAAAUGUAACUCUAAGAUGAUGCACGAGGAUAAAUGGCCCAGUAUCAAUGUCAAGUGACCGAGGGGAAAGGAGAGAGAGAGAGAGAUGAGGGGAGAGAGAGACACACACUAUAUAAUGAAAAUAGAUUGUGCUGCUACAGUUGCAAUUUCUAUUUGCUUGACUUAGUAGAGAUGGACUCUCCUGGGAUUUCUUUGGGGUAGCUGGGAACCUGCACCGCUGUAACUACAUUCCUGGUCGGCAGGGAUGCUCUGGGGUUGAUGGUGUGUGCUCUUAGAGUAUACUUCUCUCUCAUGGUGGCUGAUCAACCCUACAGCGUGGACUCUCUUGAGUGCCUGUUACUGUACCAAAGGACCGAAACGGUGAAGUUCAUUCGACUCAGCAACCUUUGCUAAGAGCUUACUACAAGGACACCCAGGUGACCAGGACCCAGUCCCUGCUAAGAGCUUACUACCAGGACACCCAGGUGACCAGGACCCAGUCCCUGCUAAGAGCUUACUACAAGGACACCAGGUGACCAAGACCUGGUCCCUGCUUGUAGAGGGGCAGACUACACAAAGCAGACCCUUGGGACAUUCAGGUCAAAGUCAUUGUUUUUUUUUUUGAGACAGAGUCUCGCUCUGUCGCCCAGGCUGAAGUGUAGUAGCACAAUCUCUGCUCACUGCAACCUCUGCCUCCUGGCCUCAAGUGAUUCUCCUGCUUCAGCCUCCCGAGUAGCUGGGAUUACAGGCACCCACCACCAUGGCCAGGUAAUUUUUGAAUUUUUAGUAGAGAUGGGGUUUUGCCAUGUUGGCCAGGCUGGUCUCAAACUCCUGACCUCAGGUGAUCCACCCGCCUCGGCUUCCCAAAGUGCUGGGAUUACAGGCGUGAGACAACGCGCCCGGCCAAAAAAUGUUUUGCUUUCUUUACUUUUCACUUCAAAAGAACGAACAGAAUAAAUUCCUAACUUAUGACUUUCUAAGACGUAAGUCAUGUUCAAUUACUAUAAAAAUUACCACACUGUGUUUGCAUAUUGUGACAGUACUACAGAGCUCAAGCUAUGCCAAUUAUUUCAGUGGCCUUGAAUGACUGAACAAGUACAAUUAUUUCUCUUCUUUUGUAAAGAAGACUAUAAAGUUUUUUAAUGGUAGAAAGCCUGUUCCUGAUUAAAUUUCUAUUCGUUUUUAAAAAUUUACUUAAAAUAUUUUCAACAUAGAAGAAAAAAGUCCUCCACUUCUAAUACUGCUUCCAGAGGUAACCUCUGCAAAUAAUUUUUAUGUAAUUAUUAAAUUACAUAAAUAAAAAUUACUCACAGGUAAUUUUUGAUUCCUAUAUAAACAAU